rnacentral:rRNA from 1 species
GGUAGUCCACGCCGUAAACGAUGGAUACUAGCUGUUGGAGGUAUCGACCCCUUCAGUAGCGAAGCUAACGCGUUAAGUAUCCCGCCUGUGGAGUACGGUCGCAAGACUAAAACAUAAAGGAAUUGACGGGGAUCAGCACAAGCGGUGGAUCGUGUUCUUUAAUUCGAUGCUAAACGAAGAACCUUACCAGGGCUUGACAUCCAGGGAAGCAUUGCGAAAGCAAAGUGUGCCUUUUGGAACCCUGUGACAGGUGUUGCAUGGCCGUCGUCAGCUCGUGUCGUGAGAUGUUUGGUUAAG